UACACCUAGCUCCGCGCUCCACAAAGUUCCAGAGAUCCGGGCGGAACCAGACUUCCUUCCAUUAUCCUGUAUACAGGAUAAGUCCGCAAUCUCUCCCUCCCACAGGAGAAGGUAACAAUAGUUCGCUCCGCAAUGUUCCAGAGAUCCGGGCGGAACCAGACUUCCUUCCAUUAUCCUGUAUACAGGAUAAGUCCGCAAUCUCUCUCCCUUAGACUAA